rnacentral:rRNA from 1 species
GAUGAACGCUGGCGGCGUGCCUAAUACAUGCAAGUCGAGCGAACAGACGAGGAGCUUGCUCCUCUGACGUUAGCGGCGGACGGGUGAGUAACACGUGGAUAACCUACCUAUAAGACUGGGAUAACUUCGUGAAACCGGAGCCAAUACCGGAUAAUAUAUUCAACCGCAUGGUUCAAUAGAGAAAGACGGUUUUGCUGUCACUUAUAGAUGAUUCCGCGCCGCAUUAGCUAGUUGGUAAGGUAACGGCUUACCAAGGCAACGAUGCGUAGCCGACCUGAGAGGGUGAUCGGCCACACUGGAACUGAGACACGGUCCAGACUCCUACGGGAGGCAGCAGUAGGGAAUCUUCCGCAAUGGGCGAAAGCCUGACGGAGCAACGCCGCGUGAGUGAUGAAGGUCUUCGGAUCGUAAAACUCUGUUAUUAGGGAAGAACAAAUGUGUAAGUAACUAUGCACGUCUUGACGGUACCUAAUCAGAAAGCCCCGGCUAACUACGUG